UACGUAGGGGGCAAGCGUUGUCCGGAAUCAUUGGGCGUAAAGAGCGUGUAGGCGGCCCGGUAAGUCCGCUGUGAAAGUCCAGGGCUCAACCCUGGGAUGCCGGUGGAUACUGUCGGGCUCGAGUCCGGAAGAGGAGUGUGGAAUUCCUGGUGUAGCGGUGAAAUGCGCAGAUAUCAGGAGGAACACCAGUGGCGAAGGCGACUUCUUGGCCUGUUCUUGACGCUGAGGCGCGAAAGCUGGGGGAGCAAACGGG
rnacentral:rRNA from 1 species